GAUUUACCCACAUUUCAAUAGUAGGAAGUCAUUUUUAAUGUGACUAUUUAAAAUUUGUUUUUUCUCCUAGGAGGAUCUGACACCUAAGGAUAUUGAAGAAAUUAUUGAUGAGCUCAAGGCUGGCAAAAAUCCAAAACCUGGGCCAAGGAGUGGACGCUUCUCUUGUGAGCCUGCUGGGGGUCUUACGUCUUUGACUGAACCACCCAAAGGACCUGGCUUUCGUGUGCAAGUGGGUCUUUAAUUUAUAUUCAACUGUAAAAUACGUCACUGAAGAAAUAAAAUAUGAAUCUCGUGUCUA